AUUGAACGCUGGCGGCAGGCCUAACACAUGCAAGUCGAGCGGAUGAAGGGAGCUUGCUCCUGGAUUCAGCGGCGGACGGGUGAGUAAUGCCUAGGAAUCUGCCUGGUAGUGGGGGAUAACGUCCGGAAACGGGCGCUAUACCGCAUACGUCCUGAGGGAGAAAGUGGGGGAUCUUCGGACCUCACGCUAUCAGAUGAGCCUAGGUCGGAUUAGCUAGUUGGUGGGGUAAAGGCCUACCAAGGCGACGAUCCGUAACUGGUCUGAGAGGAUGAUCAGUCACACUGGAACUGAGACACGGUCCAGACUCCUACGGGAGGCAGCAGUGGGGAAUAUUGGACAAUGGGCGAAAGCCUGAUCCAGCCACGCCGCGUGUGUGAAGAAGGUCUUCGGAUUGUAAAGCACUUUAAGUUGGGAGGAAGGGCAGUAAGUUAAUACCUUGCUGUUUUGACGUUACCAACAGAAUAAGCACCGGCUAACUUCGUG
rnacentral:rRNA from 1 species